UACGGAGGAUCCAAGCGUUAUCCGGAUUUAUUGGGUUUAAAGGGUGCGUAGGCGGCCUGUUAAGUCAGGGGUGAAAGACGGUGGCUCAACCAUCGCAGUGCCCUUGAUACUGAUGGGCUUGAUUGCAGUUGAGGUAGGCGGAAUGUGACAAGUAGCGGUGAAAUGCAUAGAUAUGUCACAGAACACCGAUUGCGAAGGCAGCUUACUAAAGUGUAAAUGACGCUGAGGCACGAAAGCGUGGGGAUCAAACAGG
rnacentral:rRNA from 1 species